GACGGAGGGGGGCAAGCGUUGUUCGGAAUUAUUGGGCGUAAAGAGCUCGUAGGCGGCUUGUCACGUCGGGUGUGAAAGCCCGGGGCUUAACCCCGGGUCUGCAUUCGAUACGGGCAGGCUAGAGUGUGGUAGGGGGAGAUCGGAAUUCCUGGUGUAGCGGUGAAAUGCGCAGAUAUCAGGAGGAACACCGGUGGCGAAGGCGGAUCUCUGGGCCAUUACUGACGCUGAGGAGCGAAAGCGUGGGGAGCGAACAGG
rnacentral:rRNA from 1 species